rnacentral:rRNA from 1 species
GUAGGUGGCAAGCGUUGUCCGGAAUUAUUGGGCGUAAAGCGCGCGCAGGUGGUUCUUUAAGUCUGAUGUGAAAGCCCCCGGCUCAACCGGGGAGGGUCAUUGGAAACUGGGGAACUUGAGUGCAGGAGAGGAAAGUGGAAUUCCACGUGUAGCGGUGAAAUGCGUAGAUAUGUGGAGGAACACCAGUGGCGAAGGCGACUUUCUGGCCUGUAACUGACACUGAGGCGCGAAAGCGUGGGGAGCAAACAGGGAUUAGAUACCUGGUAGUCCACGCCGUAAACGAUGAGUGCUAAGUGUUGGGGGGGUUUCCCGCCCCUCAGUGCUGCAGCUAACGCAUUAAGCACUCCGCCUGGGGAGUACGGUCGCAAGACUG